rnacentral:rRNA from 1 species
GACGAACGCUGGCGGCGUGCUUAACACAUGCAAGUCGAACGGUGAAGCGCCUUCCUUUUUGGUGGGUGUGGAUGAGUGGCGAACGGGUGAGUAACACGUGAGUAACCUGCCCCCAUCUUCUGGAUAACCGCAUGAAAGUGUGGCUAAUACGGGAUAUUCUGGGUCUGUCGCAUGAUGGGUCUGGGAAAGAUAUUGUUUCGGUGGGGGAUGGGCUCGCGGCCUAUCAGCUUGUUGGUGGGGUGAUGGCCUACCAAGGCGGUGACGGGUAGCCGGCCUGAGAGGGGGCGCGGCCACGGGGGGGGAGAGACCGCGCCCGGUCCGCGGGGGGGGGGGGGGGGGGGGUAUAUGGAAGGAGGGGGGAGGCUGGUGGGCGGCGCCGGGGGGGGGGGGGGGGGUGCUUUGGGGUUGGGUCCCUUUUCGGGGGGGGGAGCGGGCCCGUCUUGUUUGGGGGUGGGGGGGGGGGCGGGGAAAAAGAGGCCCCGACAACUGACG